AUACGAGUCAGGAGAGGAAUUAAGGUAGAAAUUUGCUGGGCUGGGGUAUUUAUUUUCAUGCUAGGGAUAAUACUGCUUGCAAAUGAGGGUGCUCUUCUUUCUCUAAAGAGAAACUCCUUUUUCAUAAGAGCAACAGAUUUCUUCUUUCAAAAGCUCAAAAGUAUUUCCCCUUCAAAGUGCACACAAAACACACGACUACCUUCAGAGUGCACAUGUGUGGGUUUGCCCUCAGAGCUGGAGGGAUCUCUCCAAUCCCAACUUUCCAGGCUUCCAGCCUUACAUUUGCUGGGCCUUUGCUUCCCUCUUGACUGAAAAGCCCAGGAUUAAGGCAGCCUCUGCAAUUUUCAUCUAAGGCUGUCAAGUUUUUGUCCUGCUGUCAUCGCCUCCUUUAUAUCAAAGAGAAAAAUGAUAAUUACAGGGGGAAUUGCUAAGGAUAAGUUCAACAUGGAAAUUUUCAGAAAACCGCAUCCCUGCAAAAAUUCUAAGUAUCAAUUCUUCUGCAACCAUUCUGGCUACGUUGUACCCAUCCUCCAAUGAUCAGGAUACUUUUCCUGUUAUCUUUUGACUUCUUGUUAUGUUUGAUUGUUUGGACUGAAAUUUACAAGGAUCUUGUAAUGAUACGUUGUUUAAUUGCCUGUUUUUAUUAUAUUUGUUCUUGGU